AUUGAACGCUGGCGGCAGGCCUAACACAUGCAAGUCGAACGAGGGGCGGACGGGUGAGUAAUGUCUGGGAACCUGCCUGAUGGAGGGGGAUAACUACUGGAACCGGUAGCUAAUACCGCAUACCAUCGGAUGUGCCCAGUUGGGUUUAGCUAGUGGGGGGGGAAAAGGCUCACCUAGGCGACGAUCCCUACCUGGUCUGAGAGGAUGACCAGGCACCCUGGGACUGAGACACGGGCCAGACUCCGACGGGAGGCAGCAGUUGGGAAUUUUGGCACAUGGGCGGAAGGCCGAUUGAGCCCUGCCGCGGGGUUGAAGAAGGGCUUUGGGUUGGAAAAGUCCUUCCGGCGGGAGGCGUUACCCGCAGAAGAAGCACCGGCUAACUCCGUGCCAGCCGCCGCGGUAAUAC
rnacentral:rRNA from 1 species